AUCACUCCUACGGGAGGCAGCAGUGGGGAAUAUUGCACAAUGGGCGCAAGCCUGAUGCAGCCAUGCCGCGUGUGUGAAGAAGGCCUUCGGGUUGUAAAGCACUUUCAGUGGGGAGGAAAGGUUGUUGGUUAAUACCUAACAGCUGUGACGUUACCUACAGAAGAAGCACCGGCUAACUCCGUGCCAGCAGCCGCGGUAAUACGGAGGGUGCGAGCGUUAAUCGGAAUUACUGGGCGUAAAGCGCAUGCAGGCGGCCUGUUAAGUCAGAUGUGAAAGCCCGGGGCUUAACCUCGGAAUUGCAUUUGAAACUGGCAGGCUAGAGUCUUGUAGAGGGGGGUAGAAUUUCAGGUGUAGCGGUGAAAUGCGUAGAGAUCUGAAGGAAUACCAGUGGCGAAGGCGGCCCCUGGACAAAGACUGACGCUCAGAUGCGAAAGCGUGGGGAGCAAACAGGAUUAGAUACCCUGGUAG
rnacentral:rRNA from 1 species